AGGUCCCACCAUCCCAAAAAUUAUUCGCCUCAGCUUUCUCAUCUCUAUCAUUCAAAACAGAAAGAAGAAGAAAGGGGGAACUGAAAUGGCAGGUCCCGUUCCUCCUCCCGUCGACGAUCUACAUUCAGUUUCGGCAAGGAAAACCCAAUACAAGAACCCCCUUUCGUGACUUGGUUGACCCAUAAAUCCCACAACCCAAACCCAACCAAUCGGAACCCAUUUAUUCCCUCAAACUCAAUUGGAAAACCAUAGGCAGUCACAUAUAUCAGUGAUUUGGAAUGGCUAGACUUCGUACGAAAUGAAGAUCUUAACAUGGAACAUAAGGGGAAUGUCAAGUGAGCUGAAAAAAGAAGAAGUCUGAGUAAUCUGGUUGUAGACAAAAAGCCUGAAAUCCUACUCAUCCAAGAAUCAAAGUUGGAGAAUGCAGACAAAUUCCUAAUUCAAAGACUAUGGUAUGAUGCUGAUUUUGGUUAUGCAUUUGUUGGGGCUGAAGGUGCUUCAGGAGGAAUAACUAUAAUCUGGAACAAAGACUUUUUAUCUGUUGAGGACGUAAUUUGUAACACCCUUAAUUUCAUAUUUUGGUUCUUUUUGGAAAUUAAUAGUUAUGAGAUAUUGGGGUUGUCUUAUUAUGGUGUAAUUAUACAACAAAUAUCAUGGACUAAUUUGUCUAGACAUAAAAAUGCAUGCAAAGAGUCUUAGUUGUCAAGUUAGAGUGAGUGUGUACACGUGGAGAACUUCUAAGAGGUUUAGUGUGUGCAUGUGGAUAGAUAUGUGAUACCUGUCAAGUAUAGGGUGAGUGGUGAGGAAAUAAAACCAUGAGUUCAUGACAAGGUCUCGGAGCUUUUGGGAGAAAAAAGAAGCAACAGCUUCUGUGCGAGAGUUGGUGGUUCAUGGUGGAUGGGUGUACAUAUUGCGGCAAGGUGAUUUGAGGGUGAGUGUGAGAUACAUAUUUCUUGUACAAUAUUAAUGUUGGGUUUUUGUUGGUUGUAUUAUGUGCGGUGACUAUAUGUCGUAGAACUGUUUGGUAUGUGAUGGGGUGACUAGGCUAAUAAGCUAUGCCAAAAGACACGUUGGCCAAUGGGCUGUGGUGAGGCUAGUGAGGUGGUACGUCACCCGUCAUAUACUGAGGAGGACCGGAUAUGUGGUUCCUUUUAUGUGGAACGUGUUAUAUUCAUGGUUGGUGUUAUACGUGGUGGUUGAUGUUGUGCAGUUAUUUUAGUGUUGAUAUUGUACA